rnacentral:rRNA from 1 species
UGGGGAAUAUUGCACAAUGGAGGAAACUCUGAUGCAGCGACGCCGCGUGAAGGAUGAAGUAUUUCGGUAUGUAAACUUCUAUCAGCAGGGAAGAAAAUGACGGUACCUGACUAAGAAGCACCGGCUAAAUACGUGCCAGCAGCCGCGGUAAUACGUAUGGUGCAAGCGUUAUCCGGAUUUACUGGGUGUAAAGGGAGCGCAGGCGGUGCGGCAAGUCUGAUGUGAAAGCCCGGGGCUCAACCCCGGUACUGCAUUGGAAACUGUCGUACUAGAGUGUCGGAGGGGUAAGCGGAAUUCCUAGUGUAGCGGUGAAAUGCGUAGAUAUUAGGAGGAACACCCAGUGGCGAAGGCGGCUUACUGGACGAUAACUGACGCUGAGGCUCGAAAGCGUGGGGAGCAAACAGGAUUAGAUACCCUGGUAGUCCACACCGUAAACGAUGAUUACUAGGUGUUGGAGGAUUGACCCCUUCAGUGCCGUAGUUAACACAAUAAGUAAUCCACCUGGGGAGUACGACCGCAAGGUUGAAACUCAAAGGAAUUGACGGGGGCCCGCACAAGCAGUGGAGUAUGUGGUUUAAUUCGAAGCAACGCGAAGAACCUUACCAAGUCUUGACAUCCUUCUGACCGGUACUUAACCGUACCUUCUCUUCGGAGCAGGAGUGACAGGUGGUGCAUGGUUGUCGUCAGCUCGUGUCGUGAGAUGUUGGGUUAAGUCCCGCAACGAGCGCAACCCUUAUCUUUAGUAGCCAGCGGUCAGGCCGGGCACUCUAGAGAGACUGCCAGGGAUAACCUGGAGGAAGGCGGGGAUGACGUCAAAUCAUCAUGCCCCUUAUGACUUGGGCUACACACGUGCUACAAUGGCGUAAACAAAGGGAAGCAAAGCUGUGAAGCCGAGCAAAUCUCAAAAAUAACGUCUCAGUUCGGACUGUAGUCUGCAACCCGACUACACGAAGCUGGAAUCGCUAGUAAUCGCAGAUCAGAAUGCUGCGGUGAAUACGUUCCC